rnacentral:rRNA from 1 species
CCUACGGGGUGCAGCAGUGGGGAAUAUUGGACAAUGGGCGAAGGCCUGAUCCAGCCAUGCCGCGUGUGUGAAGAAGGCCUUCGGGUUGUAAAGCACUUUCAGUGGGGAAGAAAGCCUUGGGGCUAAUACCCUCGAGGAAGGACAUCACCCACAGAAGAAGCACCGGCUAACUCCGUGCCAGCAGCCGCGGUAAUACGGAGGGUGCGAGCGUUAAUCGGAAUUACUGGGCGUAAAGCGCGCGUAGGCGGUCUGAUAAGCCGGUUGUGAAAGCCCCGGGCUCAACCUGGGAACGGCAUCCGGAACUGUCAGGCUAGAGUGCAGGAGAGGAAGGUAGAAUUCCCGGUGUAGCGGUGAAAUGCGUAGAGAUCGGGAGGAAUACCAGUGGCGAAGGCGGCCUUCUGGACUGACACUGACGCUGAGGUGCGAAAGCGUGGGUAGCAAACAGGAUUAGAUACCCCUGUAGU